UUUCCUGGAGUGUUUGCCAGUCAAGAAGUCCCUGAGCCGAUACUAUUUUUUUGGCAACUCUUUGUCAGCAAUGUUGUGCUAUGCCGCUCGCCGGACCGCCUGAUUUGUUGCGGGGGUCGCCCCCUUGAACUUUUCGGUUCAAGGCCACGUUGACAGCGGCACUCUGGGUUA
rnacentral:other from 1 species